AUGAAUUGCACCUAUUUUGGGGGUAAUAUUUAAUUUUUUUUAUCCUCAUAUAUGUGUUUAUAAUUUUUGCUCAUGCCUCAUUCUGACUAGUUCGUGUGAGUCAUCAAAUAUAUAUAAUUGCUUGUGAUUGGCUAAGACAUGUCAUUUUAAAUACUUUGCAACUUUUGAUUGGUCAUUAUUUUUCCUAGGAUAACACCUCAUUUAAAGACUGAUUUUCAAAAUCUAAUUUAUAAUAUAUGGUCAAAUGCGAUCUUCUAUAUAAACUCAUUUAUAAAACUCUAUAAUUCACAAAACAUUUACCCCUGUCUUCACUUCGCUUCGAUCUCUUCGACUGUACCUAAAGGAGACUUCGAUCAUUGAACUUUCAACAAAGUUUUUUUUGACGUAUGGAUUCGCAAAAUCACCCUCAACUUCAACCCCAUCAUCACCAACAACAACCCCCAACAGAGUCCCACGAACUUGAGCAACCGUUAAGUGAUAUGGUGUGCGUGAUAGUCACUUUCACCCAACACCAACAACCGAAUCUCCAGAAAAAUCCUCUCAGUUCUAUUUCUACUCCUACUCCAGUGGUGAAUCAAGUAGAUUCUUCUAUUAUUGCCCUUGCUCCUUCAGAAAACCUAGUUAAGAAACCCCGUGGAAGGCCCCCGAGCUCCGGAAUGAAGAAGCAACCAGAAACUUCAGGUACAAUUGGAAUUUGCUCUGUUAAUCAUAAAAUCAUUGUUGACAUUGGAGAGAUCCUCCACAAGACAGAUGUUUAUUGAUAACUCCAAAAGUAUCCACGAAACAGAUGUUUACUGACAACUCAAAAAGUAUCCACAAGAUAAAUGUUCACUGACAACUCAAAAAGUAUUGAAAUGAACUUUUGGUAUUUUUCCUCUUCGCCUUUCCUUUUCAACCUUAAAGUAAGAGGAUGAGAAAGUUGUGGAAUGAGCUUCAAUACUAGUGUGACCUCCGUAAACCUCUCUUGUUAGGAUGUAGCCUACUUUUUAGCAAUUAGAGGCUUUUGAGAUGCAUCCUCAUUCUUACUAAAUUCUCUGCUUUGUUCUCAUCCACAUUAUCAAUGAUCAUGGGCUCGUCCCUCUUUUCAUCAACCACAGACAUAUGUGGAUCAGUUGUAGUCUUACCACUCUGAGUAGUGAUGGCUAGGCAAUGGCUUUUAAUCUUAGAAUUUUGGAUGGUGUUGCUAGGAAGUGUGCCCAGUCGAUACUAGUUUAGUUCGGGGGAUAUCUUCCCAAAUUAUUGCUCAAGUUGUUUAAUGACAGUUGCAUGAGAUUCAACUUUUUGGCUUAUCCCUGAAAUGUUUGCUCUAAUCUCUUUAAGGUUAUUUCUUUGCUCUCCGACCCCUUAACAAGUUUCGCAAGCAAAGCUUUCAUACUUGAAUUUUCAAACUCAGUAUCAUGAUUCCCCAGUGGAAUAUAAAGGUCACUCUUGUCUUUAUAGUCAUCUUUCCAUUUGCAAUCACAAUCUUUAUCCUUACUCAUGUCUUUAUACCCAGCCUAAUGUAGUUGUCUAUAUAGAAGUUCCAACCUUGAUUGCCUGGUGUUUUAAUUGUCUUGAUUAGACCCAUUUUAAUUGGCUCAGAAACCCUCCACCCUUCCUCUUGCACCCAUUGUUACAUUUACUUGUGGUUCUUUCCAUUCAUCAUUAUUCUUUUUCGUUUUAUUUGCUUAGGCUAAUUCAUAGUCCUUCCAUCUAAACUUAUCUUUUUUGUUGCACAUUUUUUUUGGCCUCAUGUUUUAGGAAACCUAUACUAUUUUUCAUCUCAAACAUUUUAAUUGAUUACUUGUCCUUCUUAUGUGAUUGAGUUGCUUGGUUAAACGUAAAGUGGGAUAUGGAAUUAGCUUUUGACAAUGAAUAUUUGUAAAUAAAAACCCAUUCACCUAAUUUUUGUACUUAAUAAAGGUUCUAGCAUAUAAAGAUUUAGUUGAUAUUUAUUGUCUUCAAUUACUGCAUUACAAAGACAUUUUUUAUCUGUCUUCAUUGUAUUUUCUUAAUAUACUUGUUAUUAUUUGUAAGUCUUCUCAUUUUCCAUAGGUAGAACUGUGUUUUCUGCAAAAUUUCCAUCAUAAUUUCUUUCUUCUUUCUUCAACAACUGUCACAAGUUCUUUUGUUUGCCUCCAGUUGUCGUAACUAUGUGCUACUAAGCCUCGUCUAUCUCCCCAUCUCUCUAUGUUCUCUAUGCUUUGAUAGUUUAAACAUUUUCAAAAAUCCUUCUUGUUCCCUUAUUCUAUUGCAUAACACCAUUCUUAGGAUAGUGGUGCUUGAUAUGUCCUAGGCAUGGUCUAUGACAAGGAAAGUAGAGUUAGGCCAUGCCUAUGGAUAAUGAUAUCUGAUGUUUAAUCAAUCUUUUAUAAGAAAUUUGUAGAAAUAGGUUUUGGUUGUUUGGUUCGAUAAAAGGUUGGUGUUUCUUUUUCCUUACAAAAUGCAAAUUUCGAGUUUGUCAGAAUGGCAUCAUGGGAUGUAGUUAUUUUUAAGGUAGGUAGGGGUGAUUUAAACUUACUUGGGGACAAAGGUGAAUGACUUCUGUCGAUUGGUGAGGAAAAAAAAGAAGCAAAUCAGGAGAGAAAUCUUGUAAGGCUCAUAGCCCCAUUUCUUAAAAUUGAAAAGUUUAUGUAACUAAUACCUAAUAUUUAAUAAACAAAAUCUCUACCAGUGGUUAAAUUGCGGAAAACCCCGUGAAUUUUUUAGUUGACUUUGCUAAAUAAUGUGAACCUUUUACCUUGACCACAGGACAUUGUAUCUAAGAUAAUGACUAUCUUAGAUCAAGGACCACCUGCUAUUUGUAUUCUAUCUGGAGCUGGAUCCUUAUAUAAAGCCACCCUCUGGAACUCUACCAUUGGCACUAUGACACAUGAGAUGUGUAACACUUUCUCUUUCUGUUGCCUUUGUGUUGAGGCAUGUGUGUCGGCUAUUGCUUAGUUAGUCUGUGACACUAUGUCUAUGUAGUAGUCUUUUUACCCGAGGUUGCUAGUCGUGUAAUCUGGAUAAUUGUUUUUUUUUUGGCAUUUAUUUAGAUGUAUACACGGGUAACAAGCUUUUGACAUUAGAGAAAAAAAUUUGGUAGAGUAUAUCCUUUUACAUGUACUCUUUUUAGCCCAUUUGUCUCUAUACCCCUUAAGGAAUCAUCCAGUUUUCUUUAACUACUAUUUUUCAAACACUUCAAAGUAUAAUUAUAAAGAGUAAAUUAUCACUUUUUAUUAAAGUUCCAUACAUGAACUAUCAGGUGUUUGCAUUCUACCUAAGCUAUCACCGAUAGUUUAUUCCAUGAGGACAUCUUUCCAUGAGGACAUGUUUUAUCACUCUUUAUCGAUAGUCUUUUAGUGUGUCAUGACUUAGCCUAGUAGAUGUUUAUAAAUUUCAAUCUCAAUGUUAGUAUUUAAAUUACAUAAUAAUUAAUUAAAUUACCUUUUUAAUCAAAUCAAACAAUUCAGUCAAAUUAUUUUACAGUCUUGUAGUCCUUUUUUUUUUGUUAGAGGUGUUCUGGUCAUAAGUAGGUGCUUGAAGUUGGACGAAACACAAUUGAACCUUUGAUAAUGAACCGACUUAGUUGAGGCUUCUUUGUCAAAAUUUUGGUAUCUCUGGAAACCAAUUGCUUUGGAUAGUUGAGGGGUUUCUUUAUGUGCAGCGUCAAUUUGACAUCAUCUCGUUAUCGGGAUCAUUCAUGCGGUCAGAAAAUGGUGUAACAGGUGGUCUUAACCUGUCAAUAACUAAGCCAGAUGGUAGUCUUUUCGACGGUGUCGUUGAAGGAAAGCUCAGGGCUGCCACUCCGGUAUAGAUCAUUACCGGGUGGUUGUGAGAAGCUUUUUUCUGGACAUGGAAAAUCCUGAGUCUAAGCCACCAUCUUCAACUCCAUCUACUAAUGAUUUGAAUUUUGAUCCCCCGGUCACUAAGGUGGCUUGUCCUUCUACUCCAUCUUCAACUCAUCUGAUGGAUUCUUUAGAUUCUAGUGCACCUGCUUCAGAAACCCCGGCUAAGAAGGGUCGUGGGAGGCCCCCGGGAUCCGAAAAGCAAAAGCAACCAGAAACUUCAGGACAUUGUAUCUAAGAUAAUGACUAUCUUAGAUCAAGGAACACCUGCAGUUUGUAUUCUAUGUGGAACUGGAUCCUUAUGUGAAGUCACCCUAUGGGACUCUGCAAUUGGCACUGUGGCAUAUAAGAGUCAAUUUGACAUUACCUCGUUAUCGGGGUCAUUAUGCGGUAAGAAAAUGGUGUAAAAGGUGGUCUUAACCGAUCAAUGACUAGGACAUAUGGUAGGCUUUUUGGUGGUGUCAUUGAAGGAAAGAUCAGGGCUGUCACUCCGGCACAGGUGUUUGUGAGAAGUUCUUUUUUAGAUAUGGAAAAUCCCGAGUCCCUGCCACCAUCUUCAACUCCAUCUCCCAGUGAGUUGAAUUUUGGUCCCCUGGUCACUAGGAUCACUAAGGUGGCCUCUUCUUCAACUCCAUCUUCAACUCAUCUGAUGUGAAUGGUGGUACACCUCUCUGUUACAAAUCUACCCAUGAUGGAGGGCCCAAUUGAUAUACUGUCAAUUACAUUUGGGAUCCUGGUUAAAGGAAUGAGCAUCUUCACUAAAGAUGCCUAUAUAUAGAAGGGAAAAUUUCAGAAAUAGAAACUCUGUAGCCUUAAUUAUAACUUUUAUAGCAAUAGUUUCAUAAUUACGAAAAAUAGCAAAUUGUAUUUAUAUUUAAGUAAAAUGUUGCUAUAUAAAUAUAUAUACAAAUAUAUAUGUAUUACUCAUAAAUACAUAUACACAACUGAAAAAUACAUAUUCUUCUAUUACUAUGAAGUGAGUAAAAUAUUGCUACUUUUGAUAUAAGUUGUAAUUUUGAAAAAGUGUUGCUAUUUAUUGUAAUUAUAGUCUUAAGGAUGUUAGUUUCUGUAAUUUUUCCUAUAUAGAAGAUAGAACUAGCCCAUUAGGGUUAUUUUAAGAAUUAUGUUGUUUUUUCAUUAACUAUCUUAUAAUGGCACUUUGGAAUCUUCCUUUUCUAUUUUACUUUGGUUCUUUGUUACUAAAUUGAUGAACAAUCUGCUUGUAUCUUCCUUUUAUCAUCAAUACACAUCUUACUCUGUUACAUUGGUGCUUUCAUUGACUCCAUAUACUAUGGUGGACUACGGACUCACAACUCUCUCAUAUUCAAUGUCUGCUUCAAUGCAUUUUCGGCCAGCUCCAGUAGAGUUGGGUCGAUUCAGCAGCUACAAUGCAGAGGGUUGGGUUUCUACAUGUUAUGUUACGUCUACUCCUAUCUCUAUGGGGAGGCCCUAGAAUUGUUUCAUUGGAUGUUCGCAACAAUCAAUGAGCUGAUUAGAAGCAUUUUAAAGAAAAAGUGGUGUUGCGUUUUCCAAAGAAAUCUAUUAUAUACGUUGCCAAUGUGGUGUUCGAUUGAUACUUCUCAGGCUUGUUUUGCUAUUUGACAUCAUUAUUUGCUUCAGUUUAUUUAUCUGGUUUCUAAUAUGGGAAGGAUUCAUAAUGAAGAAGCAACACAAAAAUGUUUGCUCUUGGAGUAUUUAUAAAAAUUCCAGAGCCAAAGAAAAUUACACUACACCAAAAAAACAGAACUUUAGUUGUAAUUAGUUAACGACAAUAGCUUAAUU